UGAUUGGACAGGGAGCUCUUCCAGUUACCUUUACUGUCUGAAAGUAGCUAGGGGAACUGCAGAAACUGUAGGAGUGUAAUCUGUGGCUGAGGCUAACUGGAAAGAGUUCUGUCUAAUCUGCCUGUGUCUGUGUAAAGGACUAAUAGCAAGCCUUUGCUACAUGCUGGCACGGCAAGGCAAACAGCAUUGUCUGCCCAAGUUAGUGAAAGACCAGCUGGUGUUCGAAACAAGCACAAAGGGAGACCCGUCAAGUAGUGAGAUGCAGAUCAUGCUCUCCCGACAUACAUACAAUCCCUUGAUUUUCCUCUCCACCCCUCAUCCCAUGCAGCACCAACACCGAGCAAUCAAAGAACUAUUUCCCCUUCUUGAGCGGACAAAUUACAGAAGAAAGUGGCUCCAGAAGCUGGAUAGAAUUAAAUCUCUCUCAGCCACAUAGUGCGGUCCUGCUUGUAUGAGACAUCCAAGCCACAUGACAACAUAGGAAGCCGCUUUCCUGACACCUGUCUAAAUCCCAUUGAAAGAUAUGUUGGGUCCUGUUUUUAGAAUUUCUCAUCCAUACUCUUUCAGACCUUUCAGCUAGAAUAUAACCCCAGUGUGUGUUACCUCAGUAUUUUGAAGUGGAAGACUGGAGGUUAUAAAAUUUGAACAAUCUAGAUUCCCUGGAACCAAAGGUUCAAAGCCUCAGAGGGUUAAUCCAGACAGUUACUCACCAAAAGCAGGUCAAUCAGACACCAGUGUAGUGUGUGCAUGAGUAUUUUUGGAUGGAUCCAACUUGUCUGUCUAUUUAAAACACAUCAUUCACUAUGAAUAUAUAUCCCUAUGUUUUGUGCAGACACUGAAGAACAGAACAUGGUGCUGCAGUUAUUCUCUGUCGUCCAAUGUCUUAUUUGCUAUGAUUCUGGGCAGAGUGAAGAGUCAGCUGAUGAAGGGCCUAAGAGAUUCCUUCUUAUUUUGUGAUGGUUCUGUGAGGUCCUAAAGUGAAGAGCUUUGAGGGCCCCUGAGCUACUACCCUAGGAAGGACAGAGUAAUGGGGUAAUUACAGAGACAGCUACAGAAGGACAGAGUGGGAAGAGUCGCAAAAGGGAGAAAAACAAAAAGGGAAAAGGAAACUGUUUUCUGUAGACUUAGCUUAUCCACAUACCUCGCUGAGGAGUAACCCUCCUCCCUGUUUGCCUCUUGUGUGUCUGCUUCCAGAAUCCAUUUGCUGUGCUAGGGCUGCCCACAGGAAAACAGAUCAAGAAGCAGGAAACACUUUGGAAACAAUCAAAGCCAUGUUUUGUCUCAAGGACAAGGCUGAUUUUAGGGGCAUGUAAUCUCUUCUGUUGCCUAGUCUGAGCGCUGCUUGCAGGUUUUUAUCACUAGGGGUCAUCUCAUGCCUGCCGGGCUAGGCCUGAAGCUGAUAGUAUGCAUUUAUUUGCACGGCAAAAGGAAUCCAGGUACAUGAUAAAUAGCGAAGACACAAUCUGGUGCUGGAAUCAUAUGAAUACUUUUUUGAAACUUUUUGUAAAACAGCCUCCAGGUUUAAACACAGUGGCCAUGCCCAAGGGAUCUCACAAGCACUGAUUACACUCUGUGUUAAAAAUGCUUUGUUUUGGAUGGAGACCAAAGGGGCUUGGAGGCUGCUAGAACACUGAUGAAUUGUGUUGGCUGUGUCCUGGCAGUCAGGCAGCAAGAACUAAGGCCCGUCUGGGGAACCACCUCAGCAUCUCCGCAUAAGUAGCCUCUCUGGUAGGCACUGAGCUGGUUUUGCAAUUGCCCCCCAUCCAGAAGCCACUGCCUCUGGAGAUGUUCUGCGGGCUGGAGGAGACAUGGCUGGAGAAUUCCAAGGCUCAGCUAUUGCCUAGGUGCUACCUGGAGCCAGCGGCGGAUUUAGGGCAGGGCGAG